GCACUGUGCAAUGCUCAUCUUAAGGUGGUGACAGUCCCGCUGCCAUGACUCAGGCUUGGCUGCCACACACUGGCCAUACUGCUCCAGCUCCCGGCCACAGUAGCGAGCAGUGAUCUCCAGGGCUGCCUGCCUGCCGGCGCCGGUGGGGCUCAGACACAAAGGGGCGCUCCGCCUCUUCCAGUGUCAGGUUGGCCCGGGAGCGUUUCUGCCGACGGCAGAGCAGACCGGCAGCCCCAUUCCUGUCAGGCUCAACCUGUCAUGGCGGCGCCCUGCCUCACCUUCCGGCCGCGUCCAGCAAUGGCGGCGCCCUCGUAACCAGCCCGGCCCCAGUCCGCUAUUUCCGGUUUCCGGCACGUCCGGAACUCACCGGAAUUUGCUAUCCGACCCCUCAGGAGUUCGGGUGAGAGUGUCCCGGGAGGCUGUCACCAACACCUGCCCUGGUUGGCUCUCGACGUCUGAUGAUUGCACCCCAGCCAUCUGCACCGACCUCCGAUGACGCGAGGAAGUUUGAAGCCAUGAGCACUGAAGGAAAGCUUUUCACCCCAAGGCUUCUUGUGUCCUUCCUGCAAAAAUCUUUAAGAGUGGUUUUGGUGGGAGAAGAGGGGAAGGGACCAUCAACAAGGACAGAGGACUCUGGCUUGAAAUGUGGGCUGAUCCUCACAUUUUCUUCUGGGAAAGUGAAAUCUCAACCUGUCCCAUGCCUUCUACUCGAGUCUUAACUCAAAGUCUCUGUGAUGGACCUCCUUAAGAGAAGGGGUUCUAACCUCUGGAUUUGUAAGUAGGUACAAUGAAGGCCCCGGCAGGGACACUUUGCUGGGAAUGUGAGAGCCAUGCCCCCCAACUUCUAGUUGCCUUUUGGCCUGUGGCUCAGAAGUGUAACUAACUUCCUCUCUAGGGACUGAAUGUUAGAGAGAUUUAAGGGAUCAUGGGGUUUGGAGUGAAACAGACCUGGGUUUGGAUGGGAGAUUUUGGGCAGCCUACUUCGGCUGUCUGGGUUUCGGUGUCCUCUGUGACAGCUGCUUCAGGACACUCUUGAGAGAAGAAACUGGGAUGACAUGCCGAGCACCUGGUGUGGAGCACUUUGUGCUUUCCCUUUCUGUCCUUAGCAGAGCUUGUUACUUGUGUGUGUGUGUGCUUAUUUUCUUCUUACUUCAAAACCCCGGAACCUCCUGAGGGAAGGGGUCUUGUACCUAUCUCACAGACACUGCUGGAUCCCCCCAGCACAGUGUGGGGCCUGGCAGAGUCCUGAUGGGAUGAACCAAACAGUAUUGUGUGAGGGUCAGAUGAGAUCCAGUCAUUCACUGGCAUGAUACUUACUAAGUGCCAGGAGCUUUUUUAGCUGCUGGGGAAGCAGCAGCUGAGAAUGAAACAGACAAAAAAUUAAACUGUUAAUAAAAUGAUGAAAGAAGACAAUUUAGGUGAUACUUUAUUUAACACUACAUGAAGAGACAGAGAAUGGCAGAAACUCUGGGGCGGAAGGCAGGAAGCUUUUAUAGGCCAAAGAAUAAAGACCAAGGAAGAGAAAAAUAGAAAAUAUCUGAUGGGCUAGGGCCAUACCGUCAGCUUUUGGGGUGAGAAGAAGCCCAGGUUGGCUUGGCAUUUGGGAAUUGUCUGGCUGGAUAUCCUGCGCUCCUGGUCAAGGGGAAGGUCACAGGCGUGAGAGUGACCUGGGUUUGGUCGCCUUCCUUGGCACCCAGGCAGGGUGGCGCCGCAUAACACUUGUGGGAGAGGCAGGCAAUAUCAAAGUAAACAAGCACUGAAUUAGUGGUGAGUGCUGAAGACAGCGUGCAACCUGGGAAGGAAAUAGGAAGCGUCAAGAGAGUGGCAAUAUUUGGUAGUGUCCAGGGAAAGUGUGAAAUUAUGAUUGCAAUAAGCAAUACAUUUGGUCUUCAUCCCCAUUUCUGGCACAGAGCUCCCCAAACCCUUGGAAUUCAGAAUGAGAGCUGAGAGUGACAAAAGGGUCUUGUUAGGUGAGGUACCUUUUGGAUCCACCUAAGGAUGGGGGCUGGUUGCCAGGAGAAGCAACUGUUACCAGCAGACACUUAGAACAGGGUCCUCAGUCCUUGUCUUUAUUAAAAUAAUUUAACACCAGGACUUAGGAGUAUUCAAGCAAGCCAUGCACUUUAUUACAGAAGUAAGGAAACAAACACCUUAACAGACCAAGGUGAGCUGCUCAAGAGAGUCAGCCCCGAGAAGAAUCAGGGUGGCUCCCAUUAUGGGAGCGAAAAUGUUUAUUCAUUAGUUAUUAAGUCACCUAGCACGAGUAGGGAGGGUUUCAGUUAGCACACGUCCAGUCAGAUUACAUACAUACAUGUAUGUGGCAGUGUUAUCUCACGUAGUGUUAGCAUUAUAAAGUCUUUAUGGAGGCAGGGGGUACAUAUAGUAGUAUAAUGAGGGAGAAGCAACUGUAGACGCCAGAUAUACCUUACGUGCAUGUCACAUAAGUUGUGUUUUGGUCCAUUGAUUAUCUGGCCAAGGGGUCUCUAAAUUUAGGACACAGUGGCUAUAAAACUUGUUAAGACAGUAGGUUCACAUGAAAAGAUGUAUCGGGGCCUUACAGAGCCAGUGGUGCA